rnacentral:rRNA from 1 species
GACGAACGCUGGCGGCGUGCUUAACACAUGCAAGUCGAACGGAAAGGCCCUGCUUUUGUGGGGUGCUCGAGUGGCGAACGGGUGAGUAACACGUGAGUAACCUGCCCUUGACUUUGGGAUAACUUCAGGAAACUGGGGCUAAUACCGGAUAGGAGCUCCUGCUGCAUGGUGGGGGUUGGAAAGUUUCGGCGGUUGGGGAUGGACUCGCGGCUUAUCAGCUUGUUGGUGGGGUAGUGGCUUACCAAGGCUUUGACGGGUAGCCGGCCUGAGAGGGUGACCGGCCACAUUGGGACUGGAGUACGGCCCCGACUCCUACGGGAGGCAGCAGUGGGGAAUAUUGCACAAUGGGCGGAAGCCUGAUGCAGCAACGCCGCGUGCGGGAUGACGGCCUUCGGGUUGUAAACCGCUUUCGCCUGUGACGAAGCGUGAGUGACGGUAAUGGGUAAAGAAGCACCGGCUAACUACGUG